GCGCGAAAACUUUACAAUGCGGGAAACCGUGAUAAGGGGACACCGAGUGCCAGCAUCAUAUGCUGGCUGUCCAGAUGUGUAAAAUACAUCUGUUAGCAAGGGCCGGGCAAGACCGGUGCCAGCCGCCGCGGUAACACCGGCGGCCCGAGUGGUGAUCGUGAUUAUUGGGUCUAAAGGGUCCGUAGCCGGUUUGGUCAGUCCUCCGGGAAAUCUGAUAGCUCAACUAUUAGGCUUUCGGGGGAUACUGCCAGACUUGGAACCGGGAGAGGUAAGAGGUACUACAGGGGUAGGAGUGAAAUCUUGUAAUCCCUGUGGGACCACCUGUGGCGAAGGCGUCUUACCAGAACGGGUUCGACGGUGAGGGACGAAAGCUGGGGGCACGAACCGGAUUAGAUACCCGGGUAGUCCCAGCCGUAAACGAUGCUCGCUAGGUGUCAGACAUGGCGCGACCGUGUCUGGUGCCGCAGGGAAGCCGUGAAGCGAGCCACCUGGGAAGUACGGCCGCAAGGCUGAAACUUAAAGGAAUUGGCGGGGGAGCACAACAACGGGUGGAGCCUGCGGUUU
rnacentral:rRNA from 1 species